rnacentral:rRNA from 1 species
UACGGAGGGUGCGAGCGUUGUCCGGAAUCACUGGGCGUAAAGGGCGCGUAGGCGGCCUGGCAAGUCGAUGGUGAAAGCCCGAGGCUCAACUUCGGGUCGGCCACUGAUACUGCUAGGCUUGAGUCGACUAGAGGCAGAUGGAAUUCCGGGUGUAGCGGUGGAAUGCGUAGAGAUCCGGAAGAACACCGGUGGCGAAGGCGGUCUGCUGGGGUCGAACUGACGCUGGAGACGCGAAAGCGUGGGGAGCGAACAGG